UACGUAGGGGGCAAGCGUUAUCCGGAUUUAUUGGGUUUAAAGGGUGCGCAGGCGGCGUGUCAAGUCAGCGGUAAAAUGUCGGGGCUCAACCCCGGCCGGCCGUUGAAACUGGCGUGCUCGAGUUGGAGAGAAGUAUGCGGAAUUCGUGGUGUAGCGGUGAAAUGCAUAGAUAUCACGAAGAACCCCGAUUGCGAAGGCAGCAUACCGGCUCCACACUGACGCUGAGGCACGAAAGCGUGGGUAUCGAACAGG
rnacentral:rRNA from 1 species